GGGGAUUUAGCUCAGUGGUAGAGCGUUUGCCUAGGAAGCGCAAGGCCCUGGGUUCGGUUCCCAGCUCCG
rnacentral:tRNA from 1 species